GACGAACGCUGGCGGCAUGCCUAAUACAUGCAAGUCGAGCGAACAGAUGAAGUGCUUGCACUUCUGACGUUAGCGGCGAACGGGUGAGUAACACGUAAGGAAUCUACCUAUAAGCGGGGGAUAACAUUCGGAAACGGGUGCUAAUACCGCAUAAUAUCCUCUUCCGCAUGGAAGAAGAUUGAAAGACGGCUCUGCUGUCACUUAUAGAUGACCUUGCGGUGCAUUCGUUAGUUGGUGGGGUAACGGCCUACCAAGACGAUGAUGCAUAGCCGACCUGAGAGGGUGAUCGGCCACAUUGGGACUGAGACACGGCCCAAACUCCUACGGGAGGCAGCAGUAGGGAAUCUUCCGCAGUGGGCGAAAGCCUGACGGAGCAAUGCCGCGUGAGUGAAGAAGGCCUUCGGGUCGUAAAACUCUGUUAUAAGAGAAGAACAAAUUGUAGAGUAACUGCUACAGUCUUGACGGUAUCUUAUCAGAAAGCCACGGCUAACUACGUGCCAGCAGCCGCGGUAA
rnacentral:rRNA from 1 species